CCCAUAGGAGGAUAAAUAAAUCGGAAGUUUAUUUUAUCGGAAAUAUAUUCAUCUCGGGACCGCGAGUGGUAUUCGUGUGCUUCAAGUGCAUUACCAUCAAUGCAGUUUCGUGUUCGGUACUUCAGUUUCGUGUUCGGUAUUUUAGUUUCGUGUUCGGUACUUUAGUUUCGUGUUGGUACUUUAUUUUCGUGUUCGGUACUUCAUUAUUAAAAUGUUUCUCAGUGAUUCAUUUCGUGAACAUAGAAGGUGCAGUGAAUAGUUGAACAGCCUUACUUUCCGCAAGUUUUCUAUCCGCCGAAAGUUUUCGUCAGCGAGCCUCUACUUUUUCUGUCCAGUGGAAUAGUUUGCCGUGAUUUGCAAUAAGUGGAGUUACUAUUUGUCACUCGUGUCGGUUGUCAUUGUGCGAAUUUUCGGAAGUGUUUAUUCUGUGAUUAUUUUUAUGAAAUUUGAUUUGAGGAUAUCGUUUUGGAAGUCAAUUUUCUCACGUGUAUUCCUCAGCGUUGAUUCGGCAACAUUCGAGAAGGGGAUGAACGAGGAUGGAAAUCUUCACCCUCCGCAUCAGAGCUGUUCCUGACCUUGCAGAUCAUCGCUUCUUCACGGGAUUUUCCUGUCCCUGCACCACUCCAAUCAUUAAUUUUGACGUUUCUAGAGAUUUUUUUUACACCUUCGGUGGCAACGGGAGGGGAUGUAAUAACAAAAAAAUCUCGCGUAUGGAAUAUCUGCAAUUCAAAGGAAGCAAAAGGAUUUGCAGAACAUCGCUGAAGAGGAACAACAUACAACGAAAAACACGGAUGGAGGCCUCAAAAAACGUGAGA